AAAAAAAAGAAGGAAAUUACUUUUAGGUCUUGACGAAAGGGUGUUCCAACCGAAGAGUUCCCAAAUCUUAGUAACCUGGAAAGGUGGUUUUAUUUUUUUUCAGCAUCACUUCAUUAAUCUGAAUGUAAAACUAUAGAAAAAAUAAUGUCUAAUUUAGCUAGAAAAUAACACUCAUUUGCGUGCUAAGGUCUAGCAACAAAAGAAUGUUAAUGCACAUUACUACCUAUUACUACAACAGUGAACACAAAAUGAAAUGAACAGAUGCUGAUUUACCUUCUCUGGUGAAUCAUGCAUGGCACGAAACUGCAAUCCUAAAGCAAGCUAGACCAUCUGUGCUGUUUUCUCCAGAUGAGCCAAAUUUGAUGACAAACCAUUCUCCAUAUAUGGGAGUUUUUCUUUCUUUCUUUCUUUCUCCCCAUUUUAUAUUAGAAAGCAUAGUUUCUCCAAUAGAAGAUGCAGAAAACUAUUUUGCAUCUUCUACUAUAUUGCUAAAUAUUUUGACUCUGAGCCUGGAUAAAGCAGUCUGGAAAUUAAAUAUAACUUCAAAAGAGACAUCUUUUCAGAACUUGCAUUCCUCAAUUAUUCUCUCCAUCCAUACGCAAGCUGUUCUGGGAAAUAGGAUGACCCAGAAAGUGACAAAGCAUGAAGACUGAAGACGACAGGAAUUUUAUAUUUAGUAACAUUUUGGCUGCAUAGGCCCCUGACAGUCUGAUUCCGAGUUCCUGUUCUAGGACUCUUCACAAUUGUACUCUGGGAACGGAGAUGGACAGUGACUCUGGGCUCUGCGUGCUCAGAAGGGGUCAUUCCCACUAGGCAGCUACUGCCGUGCUGGGCCUCACCACCAUACAGACGAUGCUACCCUAGGCUUGGCUUCAGCUUCUAAAACCUGGGACUUCAUUAUACCACGGAGGAACUGGGAAACCAGAGGCCACAGUAACUUCCACUUUUGAAAUUGUGCGAGGGUUUGUAAAUGAAAUGGGGCUACAGCAAUGUGUAUUCUUACUCUCCACUGCAUUAUAAAGCACCAUAUGCACCA